GUGAAUAACUCGGACAGUGGCACACCAAACUCCAUCACAUUCUGCCUUUUUACCCAAAAAGAGAGCAACGCUGUACCCUCACAACCUUUCAACACUUGAGUGGCUAACCAUCAACCAAAUAGACUGAUCAGCAGUUUGCAUGUUUAUUCUGCUCUGAUUUAUUUCAUCAGUGUAUCACCUAUUGAUAAAAAGAAGAGAAGAAACACUCUUGGUUACACCUCCUCCCUCCUUAAAUAGCAGUUAGUGUAAUUGAUGCCAAGUUAAUCACUGUGCUGCCAAGAGAAGU
rnacentral:lncRNA from 1 species